rnacentral:rRNA from 1 species
GAUGAACGCUGGCGGCGUGCUUAACACAUGCAAGUCGAACGGGAAACAUUUCAUUGAGGCUUCGGCGGAUUUGAUCUGUUUCUAGUGGCGGACGGGUGAGUAACGCGUGGGUAACCUGCCUUAUACUGGGGGAUAACAGCCAGAAAUGACUGCUAAUACCGCAUAAGCGCACAGAACCGCAUGGUUCCGUGUGAAAAACUCCGGUGGUAUAAGAUGGACCCGCGUUGGAUUAGCUAGUUGGCAGGGCAGCGGCCUACCAAGGCGACGAUCCAUAGCCGGCCUGAGAGGGUGAACGGCCACAUUGGGACUGAGACACGGCCCAGACUCCUACGGGAGGCAGCAGUGGGGAAUAUUGCACAAUGGGGGAAACCCUGAUGCAGCGACGCCGCGUGAAGGAAGAAGUAUCUCGGUAUGUAAACUUCUAUCAGCAGGGAAGAUAA